rnacentral:rRNA from 1 species
GGCGAUCAGAUACCGCCCUAGUUCUGACCGUAAACGAUGCCAACUAGCGAUCCGCCAGUCGACUCAUCGCUCUGGUGGGGAGCUUCCCGGAAACGAAAGUCUUCCGGUUCCGGGGGAAGUAUGGUUGCAAAGCUGAAACUUAAAGGAAUUGACGGAAGGGCACCACCAGGAGUGGAGCCUGCGGCUUAAUUUGACUCAACACGGGGAAACUCACCCGGCCCGGACACCGUAAGGAUUGACAGAUUGAUAGCUUUUUCAUGAUUCGGUGGAUGGUGGUGCAUGGCCGUUCUUAGUUCGUGGAGCGAUUUGUCUGGUUUAUUCCGAUAACGAGCGAGACUCUGGCCUACUAAAUAGUUGGUACAUUGCCACUGUGUGCACAACUUCUUAGAGGGAUUUUCGGUGUUCAGCCGCACGAAAUUGAGCAAUAACAGGUCUGUGAUGCCCUUAGAUGUCCGGGGCUGCACGCGCGCUACACUGGCAAAAUCAGCGUGCUUGUCCUCCCCCGAAAGGGGUUGGUAAACCGAUGAAAAUUUGCCGUGAUUGGGAUCGGACAUUGCAAUUAUUGUCCGUGAACGAGGAAUCCCUUGUAAGGGCGAGUCAUCAACUCGUCCUGAAUACGUCCCUGCCCUUUGUA